rnacentral:rRNA from 1 species
CAGCGCCACAAGUGGGAAUCGCUUUUAUUGGGCCUAAAGCGUCCGUAGCCGGUCUAGUAAAUCUCUUGUGAAAUCGUUCGGCUCAACCGAGCGGCGUGCAGGAGACACUGCCAGACUAGGGACCGGGAGGGGUCAGAUGUAUUCUGGGGGGAGCGGUAAAAUGCUAUAAUCCUCAGAGGACAACCGGUGGCGAAGGCGUCUGACCAGAACGGAUCCGACGGUGAGGGACGAAAGCCAGGGGAGCAAUCCGGAUUAGAGACCCGAGUAGUCC